rnacentral:misc_RNA from 1 species
GAUGAAGAACGCAGCGAAAUGCGAUACGUAAUGUGAAUUGCAGAAUUCAGUGAAUCAUCGAAUCUUUGAACGCAUAUUGCGCUCUUUGGUAUUCCGAAGAGCAUGCUUGUUUGAGUAUCAGUAAACACCUCAAAGCUUUUGGAUUUUUUAAUCGAAAAGCUUUGGACUUGAGCAAUCCCAACACCAAUCUUUUUGAGAUCGGUGGCGGGUUGCUUGAAAUGCAGGUGCAGCUGGACAUUCUCCUGACCUAAAAGCAUAUUCAUUUAGUCCCGUCAAACGGAUUAUUACUUUUGCUGCAGCUAACAUAAAGGGAGUUUGACCGUAUUGGCUGACUGAUGCAGGAUUUCACAAGGGUCGGCAACGAUUCUUGUUAAACUCGAUCUCAAAUCAAGUAAGACUACCCGCUGAACUUAAGCAUAUCAAUAAGCGGAGGA